GAUGAACGCUGGCGGCGUGCCUAAUACAUGCAAGUCGAGCGAACGGACGAGAAGCUUGCUUCUCUGAUGUUAGCGGCGGACGGGUGAGUAACACGUGGAUAACCUACCUAUAAGACUGGGAUAACUUCGGGAAACCGGAGCUAAUACCGGAUGAUAUUUUGAACCGCAUGGUUCAAAAGUGAAAGACGGUCUUGCUGUCACUUAUAGAUGGAUCCGCGCUGCAUUAGCUAGUUGGUAAGGUAACGGCUUACCAAGGCAACGAUGCAUAGCCGACCUGAGAGGGUGAUCGGCCACACUGGAACUGAGACACGGUCCAGACUCCGACGGGAGGCAGCAGUAGGGAAUCUUCCGCAAUGGGCGAAAGCCUGACGGAGCAACGCCGCGUGAGUGAUGAAGGUCUUCGGAUCGUAAAACUCUGUUAUUAGGGAAGAACAUAUGUGUAAGUAACUGUGCACAUCUUGACGGUACCUAAGCAGAAAGCCACGGCUAACUACGU
rnacentral:rRNA from 1 species